AGGUCCAACCGGAAGAGGUAGAAGGCAGUGGGGACAUAAAUAGUGGGAUUUCAAAGUUUGAGUAGUGUAGCACUUAAUUUUAAAACGUUUAUUUUUUCUUUCGAGAAUUAACGAGUGUCAUUAUUAUUUGUGCGAUAUUUAUAUUGUUGGUAGUAUUUUUGUGUGUUAAUAUGAACACAAAUGUGUUGAAAAAAGACACGAGAGAAGGUUGAACAUCAUGAGAUGGAGAAAAAAUAUAGUUAGCUAUUGGACGAGGAAGAUGUGUUGGAUGCAUCUGAGAAGUCUAAAGCUGGGGGUACUGCAACAACAGAAAAGAAGUUGACUUCUGUUCCAGAACCUAUGAAGAAGGAAACUUCAUUACCACCGGAUCAACCUCCUGGUGUUACGAUUGCACCUCCAGUCAAUGCAGUAAAGGCAGAAAAGGAUGAAGAAGUGGAACCAGAUUCAGAGCAGGAUGACCCAACUGGAAUCAACUGAAAUUUUGUAAUAAUAGUUAUGGGAAUCCAUGUUCCCUGACAUGAGUAAUCUCCUGAGAAGAAACAGCGAAGGUCGACAUUGUGCUUGUCAAGGUGAACACUAUGCAUAUAUGUUGCCACUGUACAUCCUCCUGACUGCUCCUGACUAAUGCUCCCAUCUGUACAUUACAAACUGUUCCAUAUGCUUACAUUUCUUCAACGA